rnacentral:lncRNA from 1 species
GUUUACAACCUGCCGGACUUCCUUUAGGCAUUGUACACAGUAUGUCCACAAUGCAUUUAUAUUAAAUGCAUCAGCAUUGCUAGAACAGUCUGGACAGUAUGAUCCUAAUACAGCUUGCCUACUGAUUUGAAUACGUUUUUAAACCAGUGGCAGGCAGACUGUAGAAUGAGGCUGGUGAAAAACAGGGAACUGAACAAGAAAAAUAGAUUGCAGCAGCAGGGAGCUCAAGUAAGGACAUGGGCAAUCAUUCUUUCUGGUUCCAGUUCCUUAGAAUCCUAAGCCUCAAUACCACAAAGAAAAGGGAAACAAAAAAGUGCUGAAAUCAGCUCCUUUGGAAGUGCAGCAGAGUUUCGCUCUGUUGCCAGGCUGGAGUGUAGUGGCGCGAUCUUGGCUCACUGCAGCCUCCGCCUCCUAGAUUCAAGCAAUUCUCCUGCCUCAGUCUCCUGAGUAGCUGGGACUACAGGCGCGCGCCGCCACGCCCGGCUAAUCUUUUUGGAUUUUUAGUAGAGAUGGGGUUUCAACAUGUUGGACAGGAUGGUCUCAAUCUCCUGACUUCGCGAUCCGUCUGCCUCGGCCUCCAAAGUGUUGGGAUUACAGGCGUGAGCCACCGCGCCCGGCUAAACUUACGGUUUUAAACAACAUAAGUUUAUCAUUUUAUAGUCCUGGAGGUCUGAAGACUGAAAUGGGUGAACAAGGCUAAAAUUCAGGUGUCAGGAGGGCUGCUUUUCUACUGGAAGCUCUGGAGGAUAAUCUGUUUCUUGUCUUUUCUAGCUUCUAGAGGCUACAUGCAUUCUUUGGAUCAUGGCACCUUUCUCCCACAUUCAAAGCUCAUGACUCUAACCUCUGCUUCCACCAUCAGAUCUGUUCUCUGACUCUAACCCUCCUGCCUCCCUUUUAUAAAAACCCUUGUGUUACAUGGAGUGCGUUACACUACCCAAUUAAUCAAGGAUAAUCUUCCCUCUCAAAAUCCUUAGUUUAAUUUUAUCUCCUAACUCUUUCUUGCCAUGUAAAGUGACAUAUAGGUUCCAGAGAUUAGGACAUGGACAUCUUUAGGGGAUUAUUGCACUGUUUACCACUGUUUAUAUGCCUGCUUUGCCAAUUAUAAGGUGAAAUUUGAUGUUUCUGACCGUUUUUUAUGUCUAGAAUGGGAAUUAUUACAAAUCUCAGUGUUGCGAGAAUUAAAGGAGACAAGUAGUAUAAAGCAUUUACUACACUGGCUGGCACACGGUAUCAAUACAUUAUAGUUAGUAUGCAGGUUUUAUUAUCCUUGGAUUUGGUAAAUAUGACAGACUGGUUCUUUGAUUGACUCUAAUUAUAGACACAUAAACCCUGGAAGUACAAAAGCUUUAAUUUUUCAUUUGCUUAAAUGAAAGCCAAUGUCUCAUGUUUUCAAUUUCUAUAGCAAAACAAUAUGACCUAUUCCUUAAAAGGGAAAUAAUAAUGAGAUCUCAAGAAGGAAAUAGAAAGAAACAAUAAACAUUUUAGAAAGUUUUGGCUAUAGGAAUUUUAACCAAAAGCCAAUUUUAUAACUGAGGGCACACUGACCCAGACACUCUCUGAACAGUGCCCCCGAGCACUCACCAGCUAGAAGCGUUUGCAGGAUGGUUUUCAGUUCUGUUUGCUUUACUAGUAAUUGGCUCUUUGGGUGGUGAGUGGGGAAUACAGAUACACACAUAGUGGACAAACACACACCCACACAUGUAAUUUCAAAGAAAAGCAGCAUAUUAGCAAAGUACUGUGAGCAGUUGUCUUAAAUAGGUUAUGCGUGUACUCAAUAAAGUAAGUUUCUUCCCUUUUACUUACUUAUGAAAAUUACUUAAAAAUGCACUGUACAUGUGUGCAAAAAAUAUGAAUAUAUUCUAUCAAGGAGCACUUUUGAUUUUUUUUCCUUAAAAGCUAUGUAAUAAUUCAUGCAUAUGUAUAUUUAAGUAGUUCAUCUUUAGCAGUCUGCCCACUUGGGGAAUUUAUUUUUAUCUCUAAUUUAAUUCCAAUUUUUCUUGCAGAGAGUUAAAAGCUAGUUAUACUUUGUGUAAAAGACAGUCCAACAUUUGAAGAUUAUUAUAAAAGUCAUACUAACAUUUAUAUAACAAUCCUAUAAUUUGAUAUAAAUCUGUUAGUUGUGUCUUCAUUUACAUCUUAUUUAUGUUUAACUUCAUACACUAUGAAGAUGAUAUUUGUUACCUUUUGGCUCUUUUAUAAUUUGGUUCGUUUUGAUGUGAGUUUUUUAGGAAAAUUAGCAAGUAAUAGAAAAAAAUCAUUUAGCAAGUAUAUAUUGAACAUUUAUUAUAUUAAUGUCCUGUUAUAUUGAUCUCCUAUUAUAUUCCGGGUCAUGGAGUGGAACAAGUGAACCUGAAUCCCAACUCUCAUGGAAUUUACAUGUAGGGGACUAUAGACAAUGGAGAAAUCAAUAACAUGUUGGUAUGUUUGUUGUACUAUGGCAGUGAUAUGUACUAUGAAGAAAAAUAACAAAAAUAAAGGGGCAUUAGGGAAGAAAAACAAUAAGAAGUUGUAUUUCAGACUGAGUAUGAACAAAGAAGCUCCCAACUGCUGUCAGCUAAGAGAUGGCCAAAGUGUUCUCUGGUUAGACAUAAAUAAUUUUGCAGAAAAGUAAAAUCAGACCAGACCACCUUUGUGACUGUAUUAGAACAAGACAAAACCAAAACCCAAUAGUAACCCUAUCUGAGCACAGAUAAACACAGUAAUAUUGUGCAAAUCGCAAAAAUGAUCAAACAUUCC